UACGUAGGGGGCUAGCGUUGUCCGGAAUCAUUGGGCGUAAAGAGCGUGUAGGCGGCCCGGUAAGUCCGCUGUGAAAGUCCAGGGCUCAACCCUGGGAUGCCGGUGGAUACUGUCGGGCUCGAGUCCGGAAGAGGAGUGUGGAAUUCCGUGGUGUAGCGGUGAAAUGCGCAGAUAUCAGGAGGAACACCAAUGGCGAAGGCAGCACUCUGGGACGUGACUGACGCUGAGACGCGAAAGCGUGGG
rnacentral:rRNA from 1 species